CCUACGGGAGGCUGCAGUGAGGAAUAUUGGUCAAUGGGCGAGAGCCUGAACCAGCCAAGUCGCGUGAGGGAGUACUGCCCUAUGGGUUGUAAACCUCUUUUGUCGGGGAGCAAAAGCCGGACGUGUCCGGCUGUGAGAGUACCCGAAGAAAAAGCAUCGGCUAACUCAGUGCCAGCAGCCGCGGUAAUACGGAGGAUGCGAGAGGUAAUCGGAAUUACUUGUCGUAAAGCGCUCGAAGGCGGUAUGUCAAGUCGAGGGUUAAAGCCCCGCGCUCAACGUGGGAACUGCCUGUGAAACUGGCAAACUGGAGUGUUUUAGAGGAUAGUGGAAUUCCAGGUGUAUGAGUGAAAUCCGUAGAUAUCUGGAGGAACAUCAGUGGCGAAGGCGACUAUCUGGCACAUAACUGACGCUGAGGAGCGAAAGCGUGGGUAGCAAACAGGAUUAGAUACCCCGGUAGUC
rnacentral:rRNA from 1 species